GUGUACAGAAAGGAGUCAUGACCACUGACCCAAAGGAAAUUAAAUAUUUAAAGAGUUAGGAAUGGGGUUCCUCCUAGAAUUAAAGUAGGAAAAUAGGUGAUAAGAUUAUAAAGAUACGAAGUGAAAUACCUUCUCUCGUGACUGCUGUGGAAAGUAAACUUGGAAUUGAUAGUACAAAAAUAAAACACAUUAGGCCUAAGUACAUUGUUCAUACACUUGUAUCCGGGAUUGGCUAUUUUGUAACUAUUCAGAUUACGUAAAUUACAUUUUACAUGUGCGGUUGUCUUUGAAAAUAAUAUUAUUCAGCUACAUGUAUACGUGUGUCAAUGAAAAUGGCAAUCGUAUCCCUCAGAGCAAUCUGCUCUUUGAUUUACCUGAGGGAGCAGCUCAAAGUUGUACCACAACUUAGUCAAUUUUCACA
rnacentral:lncRNA from 1 species